GAAAUGCGAUAAUUAAUGUGAAUUGCAGAAUUCAGUGAAUCAUCGAGUCUUUGAACGCACAUUGCACCCCCUGGUAUUCCGGGGGGUAUGCCUGUCCGAGCGUCAUUGCUGCCCUCAAGCCCGGCUUGUGUGUUGGGUCCUCGUCCCUCCCCGGGGGACGGGCCCGAAAGGCAGCGGCGGCACCGCGUCCGGUCCUCGAGCGUAUGGGGCUUUGUCACACCGCUCUCGUAGGCCCGGCCGGCGCUGGCCGACGCUGAAAAGCAACCAUUAUUUCUCCAGGUUGACCUCGGAUCAGGUAGGGAUACCCGCUGAACUUAAGC
rnacentral:misc_RNA from 1 species